UACGUAGGUGGCAAGCGUUGUCCGGAAUUAUUGGGCGUAAAGCGCGCGCAGGCGGCCUUUUAAGUCUGAUGUGAAAGCCCACGGCUCAACCGUGGAAGGUCAUUGGAAACUGAAAGGCUUGAGUACAGAAGAGGAAAGCGGAAUUCCACGUGUAGCGGUGAAAUGCGUAGAGAUGUGGAGGAACACCGAUGGCGAAGGCAGCCUUCUGGGCCAACACUGACGCUCAUGCACGAAAGCGUGGGGAGCAAACAGG
rnacentral:rRNA from 1 species